rnacentral:rRNA from 1 species
GACGAACGCUGGCGGCGUGCUUAACACAUGCAAGUCGAACGGUGAUGCUCCAGCUUGCUGGCGUGGAUCAGUGGCGAACGGGUGAGUAACACGUGGGCAACCUGCCCCAGACUCUGGAAUAAGCGCUGGAAACGGCGUCUAAUACUGGAUACGAAACUGGCCCGCAUGGGCAUGGUUUGGAAAGUUUUUCGGUUUGGGAUGGGCUCGCGGCCUAUCAGCUUGUUGGUGAGGUAAUGGCUCACCAAGGCGACGACGGGUAGCCGGCCUGAGAGGGCGACCGGCCACACUGGGACUGAGACACGGCCCAGACUCCUACGGGAGGCAGCAGUGGGGAAUAUUGCACAAUGGGCGAAAGCCUGAUGCAGCGACGCCGCGUGGGGGAUGACGGCCUUCGGGUUGUAAACCUCUUUCAGCAGGGAAGAAGCGAAAGUGACGGUACCUGCAGAAGAAGCACCGGCUAACUACGUG